rnacentral:rRNA from 1 species
AGUACGUGAACUGCUUAGAGGUUAAGCCAGAUGAACCUGAAUAUCUAUUAUAGAAAAUUCAUCGCCAAUAUUAUAAUAUUAUAUUUUUAAAUACAUAAAAAAAAAAUGUAUAUAUAUAUUAUAGAAAUGGUGUGCAUUUUUUCUAUAUAAGGACAUUGUAAUUGGUUAAUAAAAAUAAAAACCUAUCAAAAGAUUCAUUUAAAGAGUUUAUUUUAAUUUAUAAAUUUCUUUGAAAUUUUAUAAUUAAAUAAAUUUAAUUGAAUUUGAUAGAAUAUUAACCAAUUUGAUAAUUAAUAAUGUAUUAAAUUUCUUAUGAAAUUUUAUAAUAAGUAAAUAAAUAAGUUCUUGCAGGUUUAUUUAUUUAUUUUAUAAUAUACAUUUUUAUGAUUUACAAUGCUAAUAAAAUUCAGGAUACCUUCUGGACCCGUCUUGAAACACGGACCAAGGAGUCUAACAUAUGUGCAAGUCGUUGAGUUAUCGAAUUAUGAAUACUCAAAGGCAUAAUUAACUUAACUGUUAUAUUUAAUUGGGAUUAUUUUAUAUAUAUUAUUAUAAAUUAUAAAUUCAAUCCCAGGGCGUUUUAUAUAGUUAUGUAUAUUAAUAUUUUAUAUUAUUUAUACCUCUAACUA